UACGAAGGGGGCUAGCGUUGCUCGGAAUUACUGGGCGUAAAGGGCGCGUAGGCGGACUGUUUAGUCAGAGGUGAAAGCCCAGGGCUCAACCUUGGAAUUGCCUUUGAUACUGGCAGUCUUGAGUACGGGAGAGGUGUGUGGAACUCCGAGUGUAGAGGUGAAAUUCGUAGAUAUUCGGAAGAACACCAGUGGCGAAGGCGACACACUGGCCCGUUACUGACGCUGAGGCGCGAAAGCGUGGGGAGCAAACAGG
rnacentral:rRNA from 1 species